UCUAGUUUCCACGGGUAAACAACAAAUCUGAAUUUCUUACCUCACUUUGCUCUCUUUUUCUCUUAAGGAAAGUGCUAGGAAGCUCCCUUGAGUCUUUCUCUCAAGUCCAUGGGUUCACACACCAAAAGAAAGAUAAGUCUCCAUCUUAUCUCUUCUUUGACUCUUUCAAAACAACUACAACAAUCAAGAACACUCUCCCUUGCAUUCUUACAGGUCCAACACCAAAAAGAAAGAAAACUCUCUCAAGCUCUCUACCUCUCAUACUUUUGGGUCCAGCCACUAGGAAAGGGACAUCCUUUCAUGCAAGAGUGAUUUAUUUCUAUUUCCUCUCAAGAACCAUAAAUUUGGUGUUACCAGUAUCCAAGUCUAAGCUCCUUCAACUUUAGGCUCUCAGAUUCUCUGCUUUCAGUUAGCAGGUUUUAUUUUGGAGCAGAGGGAGCCUUAGUCAAGUUUGGAAGGAGUUGGUUUAGUUUUAUAUGUAUAGAUCCUAAAUUAGAAAUUUGAUGUUUAGAUUUGUAGUAUGGUGUAUUUUAGGAUAUAAUAAAAGUGUGUACCUUAAAGUAUUAAGAGAUGUAUUAUGUGAAAGAGUGGAAAUUAAAUGACUGGUGGAUUAUGUUA